CGUCAUCGCAACAAACUCUCACUGCGCAUGCGUGUGAACUAUAAAAGGCGGGAUCGCGCGUUUGUUCUUCCCAGUUCCGUGUAUCUUGUGAAGGUAUGUGGGCUGUUGGACCAUGGAGGUUUCCUACAGUGCUUCCUCAGAUUUUGAUCAUACUGGAGCCAAAUGGAUGACCUUAAAUUCAUCAGACUUCGUUUCAUAAGUCUUUAACUCCCCAAAACAGGAGAAUUCUGUAAUUCAAGAGGACCACACAAUGAGAGACCCUUGACGAAUGGCCACAUGUGAAGGCGUUUGAGCGACCUGUGUUCCUGAAUGCCCUUCAGUGCCAAGCCCAUGUGGAGCAGUGGAUGACAUACACGAGGGGUUUUCUCAAAGCAGACUAGUGUUUACCAGCCAUAGGAGAGGAAAUACCUUUUUAAAGUUUUAGAGUAUUAAAGUUGCUAUUAUUUUGACCUACUAGUGUUCCAACGUGCUUUUUGAGGCAUUCAAGUUUGUUCAACUUUAAUUUCUCAGAAUGCUUUCACUAAUUAUUGCUUGUAACUUGUUGGUUCUAUGCUUGUGUAAAUGGUCUUUCAGCAGGCAGUUACCUCUUUUACUGUUUCAAUAAAACUAGUUAAUGACUUUGCAUUUAUGAAAA